UAACAAGGAUUCCCCUAGUAACGGCGAGCGAAGCGGGAAGAGCUCAAAUUUGAAAGCUGGCGUCUUCGGCGUCCGCGUUGUAAUCUCGAGACGUGUUUUCCGUGCGGCUCUAUGGACAAGUCCCUUGGAACAGGGCAUCGUAGAGGGUGAAAAUCCCGUACUUGCCAUGGAAGUACCGUGCUUUGUGAUACACGUUCCAAGAGUCGAGUAGUUUGGGAUUGCUGCUCAAAGUGGGUGGUAGACUUCAUCUAAAGCUAAAUAUCGGGGAGAGACCGAUAGCGAACAAGUACCGUGAGGGAAAGAUGAAAAGCACUUUGGAAAGAGAGUUAAAAGUACGUGAAAUUGUCGAAAGGGAAGCACUUGAAGUCGGCCAUGCUGCUUGAGACUCAGCCUGGCUUUUGCUUGGUGUAUUUCUCGGUAGCAAGCCAGCAUUGGUUUGUGUCGUCGGAGAAGCGUAUGGGGAAUGUGGCAUCCUCGGAUGUGUUAUAGCCCUGUGCUGGAUACGACGACGCAGACCAAGGAACGCAGUGUGCCCUCUGGGCGGGUCUUCGGACACCUUCACACUUAGGAUGCUGGCGUAAU
rnacentral:rRNA from 1 species